UUCCUUUAAUCCUCAACCCGGAGCCCUACAGCAGCUAAAGCAAGAGGCCAAAAAUGUUUGGAGGAAGAAAAACAAAGGCAGGAAGUGGCGGCGGCCUGACGGUGCGUGUGUGUCUGUAAAGGGAGGGAGUCGGUUCAAUCUUCUGUUUUUCCGAACUUCAAGGUCCAGGCAG
rnacentral:lncRNA from 1 species